GGACAUUCCAUCGGUGGCUGUAGUGCCACUCGGAGCGAAAAUCCUGGCGCACGAAUCACUCCCAUCCUGAGACCGGUCCAGAGAUGGGUCCGUGAAUUUUUUUUUUUUGACAAGGGUCCGUGAAUAUGAUGGUCUGGCAGUGCAUCUUCCCUGGCAAGGCUGGGUGUUUGAAGACACAAUGACAACAACUGCAAUUUUGCCCUACCUUGCCUGUUUUCCGACUGAUUGGGAGGGUGGCUAUUUUCCACAUACAAUUAUUUUUCAGUGAGGACUAUCCAAGUAAACCGCCCAAACUGCAAGUUUCCACAGAGUUUCUUCCGUCCAAAUGUCUACCCCUCUGGAACCGUUUGUUUGUCAAUUCUCAAUGAGGACAGUAUAAGGGGUGGAGACCUGCCAUUACUAUAAAGCAAAUUCUAGUGGGCAUUCAGGAUUUGCUGGGGAAACCCAACCCUGCCGAUCCAGCACAAACUGAUGGCUACCAGGUCUUCAUCCAGGAACCAUCUGAGUACAGAAGAAGGUUGCAUGAGCAGCAGGCCAAGAAGUAUGCACCCUCCUGUCUAGCAUUAUUGGUACUAGUAUUUUCGUAUCCCAUUGAUGAGACGACCGGACGUCGUCGAGUGCAAUUAAAACUUUGAAUUUAUAGAUCUAAGCAAACGAGCACUAGAUACACGCGGUUUUAAGAAUGUCAUUGUUGAGUGCAGCACGCCUAGCUCUAGUGUUUCAAGUUACUCGAUCAACUUGUGAUUAUAGAAGAUCAGGAUCAACGUGUGGGUGAGCAUGCAAGUACGUGCAUGCAUGGCUUGGCUGGUGGAGGUGUGUGGCAUGAUUGACAAAGGCUUUGAUUAACUAAUUAAUAGAAAUA